GACGAACCGUACGAACGUUAUUCGGAAUUACUGGGCUUAAAGGGUGCGUAGGCUGUGCAGAAAGUUGGGUGUGAAAUCCCCCGGCUCAACCGGGAACGUAGCGCUCAAAACUACUGUGCUAGAGGGAGACAGAGGUAAGCGGAACUCAGGGUGGAGCGGUGAAAUGCGUUGAUAUCCUGAGGAACACCGGUGGCGAAAGCGGCUUACUGGGUCUCUUCUGACGCUGAGGCACGAAAGCUAGGGUAGCGAACGGGAUUAGAUACCCCGGUAGU
rnacentral:rRNA from 1 species